rnacentral:rRNA from 1 species
GACGAACGCUGGCGGCGUGCUUAACACAUGCAAGUCGAACGGAAAGGCCUGCUUUCCCUUGUGGAUUGCGGGUACUCGAGUGGCGAACGGGUGAGUAACACGUGAGUGAUCUGCCCCCAACUUGGGUAUAAGCCUGGGAAACUGGGUCUAAUUCCCGAUAGGACUGCAGGGUGGUGCCUGUGGUGGAAAACGAUUUUCUAGUGGUUGGGGAUGAGCUCGCGGCCUAUCAGCUUGUUGGUGGGGUAAUGGCCUACCAAGGCGGCGACGGGUAGCCGGCCUGAGAGGGUGGACGGCCACAUUGGGACUGAGAUACGGCCCAGACUCCUACGGGAGGCAGCAGUGGGGAAUAUUACACAAUGGGCGGAAGCCUGAUGCAGCGACGCCGCGUGGGGGAUGACGGCCUUCGGGUGGUAAACUCCUUUCGACCGCGAGGAAGCCACCUGGUUGGAAGGGUGGUGACGGUAGUGGUAGAAGAAGCACCGGCUAACUACGUG